CUUACGCGAGCCAUCGAGGAGGAUGGAACGAUCUCCAGCUUGGAGGGGAAGAAAAAAUAGACGGGAAGCAAUCGUAUCAUGAAUAUCAAGGAAGAAAGCAAACCAGCAGCGACAGCAUCGAGCUAUGGAUGGAUCGGACUACGAGCGAGGGUGAAGGAUGAAGAAGCUGAAAGGAGGAGCCGCGACACAGGAUGGGCAAAAGGGAUGGAUUGUAGGUGGAACAGGGACACGAGAGCAGACCUAACCCGGAGCUAUAUAUCGAGCGACGAAUGUCGGACGUUCAGGGUGCACGUCACGUAGAAGACUCUCUCUCUUUCGACGAGGUGAGACGGGGAGGCCGAAACAGAGACGUUCUCCUUGUGGACGACGAGCUGUCGUGCGACGCAGCCUCAUCCUCUGGCAGAGGGCACGCACUCGCAUAAUUAAGAAACUUCCCGUGCCUCUCUUCUCUACCGUUCUUUCCUUCCCGGUUACUAUUCGACUCGCGCCAACGCGACCCGAUUAAGCUGUCCAGCCGGGGUGAAAAUGAAUUCCCCGACGAAGAUUCAUGGCCCUGUUCGAAUCACAGGGAAAACGACCUCGUCAUGGGGUACAAUGAGGAAUGAACAGACUUUCGAAAGGUGAACUUGGAUAUCCGGAGGUGCUAAUACCUCGACGACGUGCAAAGUUACUUUAAUCAUACUGAACGUUCCGUAGCUCGUUACUACGAAAAUCUGGCAAUUUUCGUUGAUAUCCGUGUGGCGAGAUCGCGAUAAAUCAAGGAAACAUGGGGAAUAAGAGCGAUUUGUGUCGAGAGAUUGGACGCAGUCCACCGUUUUCCUUAAGAUCCUCUCCUCGUAUCGUGGCUCAUGUUAUAUCAACGGUCUACGCACGCUUUACGUCUUCCCCUCGAAGCGGAUCGUCCCUAAUACGCGUCUCGUUUACAAGAAGAGCAAGCGAGACCAGCCGAAACGGAUACAAAUGGAUGUACUAUUGAGAGAGCCUUGUAAAAUGCUAUUUCCACCGACGUUUCGUCGCUUUUGUGCACUUUGCAUCGUCUUCGAGAUACA